CAGCAGCCGCGGUAAUACGGAGGGGGCUAGCGUUGUUCGGAAUCACUGGGCGUAAAGCGCACGUAGGCGGCUAUUCAAGUCAGGGGUGAAAGCCCGGGGCUCAACCCCGGAACUGCCUUUGAAACUAGAUAGCUUGAAUCUUGGAGAGGCGAGUGGAAUUCCGAGUGUAGAGGUGAAAUUCGUAGAUAUUCGGAAGAACACCAGUGGCGAAGGCGACUCGCUGGACAAGUAUUGACGCUGAGGUGCGAAAGCGUGGGGAGCAAACAGGAUUAGAUACCCGUGUAGUCCCUGUCUCUUAUAC
rnacentral:rRNA from 1 species